GAUGAACGCUGGCGGCGUGCCUAAUACAUGCAAGUCGAGCGAAUGGAUUAAGAGCUUGCUCUUAUGAAGUUAGCGGCGGACGGGUGAGUAACACGUGGGUAACCUGCCCAUAAGACUGGGAUAACUCCGGGAAACCGGGGCUAAUACCGGAUAAUAUUUUGAACUGCAUGGUUCAAAAUUGAAAGGCGGCUUCGGCUGUCACUUAUGGAUGGACCCGCGUCGCAUUAGCUAGUUGGUGAGGUAACGGCUCACCAAGGCAACGAUGCGUAGCCGACCUGAGAGGGUGAUCGGCAACACUGGGACUGAGACACGGCCCAGACUCCUACGGGAGGCAGCAGUAGGGAAUCUUCCGCAAUGGACGAAAGUCUGACGGAGCAACGCCGCGUGAGUGAUGAAGGCUUUCGGGUCGUAAAACUCUGUUGUUAGGGAAGAACAAGUGCUAGUUGGAUAAGCUGGCACCUUGACGGUACCUAACCAGAAAGCCACGGCUAACUAUGUGCCAGCCGCCGCAGUAA
rnacentral:rRNA from 1 species